GCCACGGUGGUGUAGUGGUAGCACGCGCCUCCCGCUCAGUAUGGGUGAAACGCUGGUUCAACUCCAGCCUGAAGUCGACA